rnacentral:rRNA from 1 species
UGGGGAAUAUUGCACAAUGGAGGGAACUCUGAUGCAGCGACGCCGCGUGAACGAAGAAGGCUUUCGAGUCGUAAAGUUCUUUUAUAUGGGAAGAUAAUGACGGUACCAUAAGAAAAAGCCCCGGCUAACUACGUGCCAGCAGCCGCGGUAAUACGUAAGGGGCUAGCGUUGUCCGGAAUCACUGGGCGGAAAGGGUUCGCAGGCGGAAAUGCAAGUCAGGUGUAAAAGGCAGUAGCUUAACUACUGUAAGCAUUUGAAACUGCAUAUCUUGAGAAGAGUAGAGGUAAGUGGAAUUUUUAGUGUAGCGGUGAAAUGCGUAGAUAUUAAAAAGAAUACCGGUGGCGAAGGCGACUUACUGGGCUCAUUCUGACGCUGAGGAACGAAAGCGUGGGUAGCAAACAGG